UAAUUUGAAGUAUUUUUGUACUUUUUCAGGGGAAGCACAAAAGACUGUUUGAAAAGGCAAACUGAGUUGAGACCUAAAGGUGUACCACAAUCACAUCCAAAGUACAUCAGUCUUGAAUGUUGUGAAGGCUCUGUAGUACAUGUGGCAGUGUAAGGGGUGUUGCAUACAAGUACCAACCAGGUCUGCACUGCUCAAACAUUAUAGGAUUAAACAUCCUCACUUUGGCCGCACUGCCCGCUAUCCAUGCACUGAUUUUUCU